CCAGUUUUUUGUCUUUAAUAUAUUUUGAAAUGAAAUAACACAAGUAAUGAAAUCUGAGUAGAUAAAAUGCCUGAACCACUGUGACUAUCAGGUGAGUAUCAGUUAAGGAUGACAGAUCAUGGCAACACCAUAGGAAAAUGUAUUUAAAUCCAUUUUCACUGGUAGCUUUGUACAUGUAAUAAACAUGUAUCAAAAGACAAGUAUCUUCAUCAUUUGAAACUCAUAGUAGAGUUUAUAAGUGUUUAGCCUACUAUAUAACAUAGACUAUUGCCUACUAUAUAUCAUAUAUAUCAUACCAUAUCAGUAGUACAACCUACUAUGUGUUGUAGUAGCUUAGGGAUAACUUACCCUGGUGAUCAAGUGAAUCUGGAUGGAAGGAAUUGGGUGCAUGGAGGGGGAAGGUGGGAGGGAGAGGAAGUGGGAUAUGGUAGACAGUAAAACACCCCAGAAAAGCCAGGCUUUCACCUUAAAACCUCCUGGGAAAACUGCACUGAGGGCUUAGUCCAGGCUCCACUUCUGCAUUAGAAAAGACAAACCAGCAACAGGACAAGUAGAAGUUCCUCAGAGCAUCUAAGCAGGUUUUUCCAGCUGAAGGAAAAAAGUUUGUGGUUUGAUGACAAGGAUUCAGGGCUGAAAACUCACAGACAGAAGUCUUCUUAAAUACUUAAAUACACAGAACAAGUGAUAAAACAUCAACCCUCAUGUUGAUUUUAAGUUUUGAUUUUCCCCCCCAGUGCUUUCCUGGCUGCAGAUUCCACAAGUAACAUGAUGGGAUAACACACGACACCACACCAGCUACCUGCCCUUGUUUGAAACAUUGAGGCUUCCUCUUGCCAAAACAUCUUAAUUUUAAGGCUUGGAAUUAAGAUUAAGCCAAAACCUUGUGAAAACCCACCAGAACAGAGAAGCAGGUUUAAAUUUUGGGUGCUCUGCUCCAGGUGCCCUUUUCCAGGCAGGAUCCAACUCUACAGCUCCAUGCACGGUGCCUGCUGCCACACUUGACUUUACAUCUAAGAAUCUGAAGUGGCUUAAAAAUCCAGAUGAUUUUAGCAAUGUUGAUGGAAUUCCCCUGGGAAACAAGCCCAUCUUAUAGAACCAUAGAUUAGUUAGGGUUGGAAAGGCCCUUAAGAUCAUCUACUUCCAACCCCCCAUCAUGGGCAGGGACGCCUCACCCUUGACAAUGUCACCCAAGACUCUGUCCAAGCUGGCCUUGAACACUGCCAGGGAUGGAGCAUUUACCACUUCUUUGAGCAACCUGUAAAGAACUUCCUUAUCUCCAAGCUGAACUUCCCCUGUUUCAAUUUGAACCCAUCACCCCUUGUCCUAUCACUACAAUCCCUGAGCUUUUUACUUUACAACUUGGCAGAGUUGCCCCACAGAUUU
rnacentral:lncRNA from 1 species